UUGUUGCUCUGGAUGUGUAGUGCACACCUUGUAUGGCAGCACCCUGACAUCGGGGUGAAUGUGGGGCAUUAUUGUAAUGCGCUUUGAGCAUCUGAUGCAGAUGGAAAAGCGCUAUAUAGAAUGCAGUCCAUGUACCAUUUACCAUAACUGCUAGGCCACACAUUGAAAGUUAAGUGUGGUAACAGCUAACACGCUAGUGAAAAAGUAAACUGUAGUAAUCACUAACACACUAAUGGAAAAGUUAACCAUGGUAACUG